ACACUCCUGCGGGAGGCAGCAGUGGGGAAUCUUGCGCAAUGGGCGAAAGCCUGACGCAGCCAUGCCGCGUGAAUGAUGAAGGUCUUAGGAUUGUAAAAUUCUUUCACCGGGGACGAUAAUGACGGUACCCGGAGAAGAAGCCCCGGCUAACUUCGUGCCAGCAGCCGCGGUAAUACGAAGGGGGCUAGCGUUGCUCGGAAUUACUGGGCGUAAAGGGAGCGUAGGCGGACAUUUAAGUCAGGGGUGAAAUCCCGGGGCUCAACCUCGGAAUUGCCUUUGAUACUGGGUGUCUUGAGUAUGAGAGAGGUGUGUGGAACUCCGAGUGUAGAGGUGAAAUUCGUAGAUAUUCGGAAGAACACCAGUGGCGAAGGCGACACACUGGCUCAUUACUGACGCUGAGGCUCGAAAGCGUGGUGAGCAAACAGGAUUAGAUACCCUAGUAGUCCC
rnacentral:rRNA from 1 species